rnacentral:rRNA from 1 species
GACGAACGCUGGCGGCGUGCUUAACACAUGCAAGUCGAACGGAAAGGCCCUGCUUUUGUGGGGUGCUCGAGUGGCGAACGGGUGAGUAACACGUGAGUAACCUGCCCUUGACUUUGGGAUAACUUCAGGAAACUGGGGCUAAUACCGGAUAGGAGCUCCUGCUGCAUGGUGGGGGUUGGAAAGUUUCGGCGGUUGGGGAUGGACUCGCGGCUUAUCAGCUUGUUGGUGGGGUAGUGGCUUACCAAGGCUUUGACGGGUAGCCGGCCUGAGAGGGUGACCGGCCACAUUGGGACUGAGGUACGGCCCAGACUCGUACCGGAGGCAGUAGUCGGGAAUAUUGCACAAUGGGCGGAAGCCUGAUGCAGCAACGCCGGGUGCGGGAUGACGGCCUUCGGGGUGUAAACCGCUUUCGCCUGUGACGAAGCGUGAGUGACGGUAAUGGGUAAAGAAGCACCGGCUAACUACGUG